UACGGAAGGGGCAAGCGUUGUUCGGAAUCAUUGGGCGUAAAGGGCGCGUAGGUGGUUCUGUGUGUCUACCGUGAAAGCGUACGGCUCAACCGUAUUUUGUCGGUAGAAACUGCAGGACUUGAGGCUGGGAGGGGCUGGUGGAAUUCCCUGUGUAGCGGUGAAAUGCGUAGAGAUGGGGGAGAACACUCGUGGCGAAGGCGGCCAGCUAGACCAGUUCUGACACUGAGGCGCGAUAGCGUGGGGAGCAAACAGG
rnacentral:rRNA from 1 species